UUUUUUGCCAGAUUCAAUCGGUUCUCCUAUCCCACGACUAUAGCGAUCAGGGCCGGGAGAUUGGGGGUGGCCGGCUGGCCGCCCCGCCGGUUCGAGCUUGGAUCCACAACAUGAACCAGCCCCGCGAGCACUCCGCUCUAUUCUCCCCCUGGUUGCAGCGACCGGCGACGGCGGAUUGAAGGAGGCCGCCCCACCAGCGGAUCUCGGAUCCACCGCAUCAACCGGCCCGCGAGCCAUACCCCAACGAUUACAGCGACCGGCGACAGCUCUCGGAUCACCAGGAUACAGCGAAGGGAUUUGGGGGAGAAAAGCACCGAGGUGAUGUAGACGAAAGAGAGAAGGCACCUGAAGGUUCUACCAUGCCAAAAACAAAAAAGCGUGUCAGAUCUACAAACGGUGCAUCAGCUACCUCAAGAAUAACUGGAUCCAAAGCUACCACAACAACUGAGUUGGUUGAAGCUACAAACCAUCAAGAAUAGUCUGCACCAAAUCCAACAAACACAUCACCUCUCCUAACUUCUAAGGAUAGCAACUCGCCUGACACUGAUUAGGGGAUGCAAGGUUCUCAAGACAUGAUAGGCACAUCUAGCCAAUUUCAUAACAUGAUUACACUACAAGGCCAAGACUCAUAAGCAUGCUCCACUGGUCCAACUGAUGCAUAAGCAUUCUCCACCAUGGGGGAUGAGACCUACAGACCCAGUCAAAGCAGCUAAAAUAUCUUCUUUGUAAUCCAUCAUAUGAAGUUUGCCUUACUGGUGGUAGGAGCAAGCCGGUAUGUCUAGCUUAUAAUGUGAUGGAAAAGAAAAGGGAAGCACAAUCAGAAGGUGAGUUGGCAAUAUCGGAUACAAAAAUUGUGGCUGGAGUUCUAAAGGAAGAAAGCACCCAUAGCACCUUCCUUUCUAGCAUGGGUUAUGCAUCAAGAUCCAGGAGAUUUGAGACCUCUACUUAAUCUUCACAGAAUUGAAGAGAAGGAUAGAGAGGCGAGAGAUGCAAGUGAUAGGCACCAAGAGGAGUUAGCCGUGAAGCUUGAAGCACAAGUGACAACAUUUGAAGAGAUGCAGAGGAAGCAAUAGGAAAAAUUGGAAGCUAUGAAGAAGAGCCAGCAAGAGAAGAAUGAAGCCUGGCAAAAGAAGCAACAGGAGACGGAUAACCUAAUUGGUUUUCUCUUAAAGGCUCAAGCAAACUUAGCAGUCCCGGUCUGUUGGGGAUAUAACUACUGAGUAUAAACCGCCCAGGAGGGGCCGGGUUAUACCUGUAAUGAGUUAUCCAUAUUGAAGCCCAUGAAGACAAGGUGUAUGGCGCUUUAUGGAGGAGAUUAACAAGAAGGCCCAAGAGCCGAAAGGCGGAUUACGGCCCGUAGAUGUAAAUCGCCAUAUGGUAGUUGACUUGUGUUGUAAGAUAAGAAAGGGUAGAAACCAAGCCGGACACGUUUAUGAGCCGGCUGGGAUUCUGUGAACCGCCGGGCGUCAACCUGUUUAUAUAAAGGGACGACCUGCCGGCGGUUUAGG